rnacentral:tRNA from 1 species
AUUUAUGUAGUUUAAAAUAAAACAUUACACUUUCAUUGUAAAAACAAAUUCCAAUUUCAUAAAUA